rnacentral:sRNA from 1 species
CUUCNGUUGGUGAACCUGCGGAAGGAUCAUUACCGAGUGCGGGUCCUUUGGGCCCAACCUCCCAUCCGUGUCUAUUGUACCCUGUUGCUUCGGCGGGCCCGCCGCUUGUCGGCCGCCGGGGGGGCGCCUCUGCCCCCCGGGCCCGUGCCCGCCGGAGACCCCAACACGAACACUGUCUGAAAGCGUGCAGUCUGAGUUGAUUGAAUGCAAUCAGUUAAAACUUUCAACAAUGGAUCUCUUGGUUCCGGCAUCGAUGAAGAACGCAGCGAAAUGCGAUAACUAAUGUGAAUUGCAGAAUUCAGUGAAUCAUCGAGUCUUUGAACGCACAUUGCGCCCCCUGGUAUUCCGGGGGGCAUGCCUGUCCGAGCGUCAUUGCUGCCCUCAAGCCCGGCUUGUGUGUUGGGUCGCCGUCCCCCUCUCCGGGGGGACGGGCCCGAAAGGCAGCGGCGGCACCGCGUCCGAUCCUCGAGCGUAUGGGGCUUUGUCACAUGCUCUGUAGGAUUGGCCGGCGCCUGCCGACGUUUUCCAACCAUUCUUUCC